rnacentral:rRNA from 1 species
CGCCAGACUCCUACGGGAGGCAGCAGUGGGGAAUAUUGCACAAUGGGGGAAACCCUGAUGCAGCGACGCCGCGUGAGCGAUGAAGUAUUUCGGUAUGUAAAGCUCUAUCAGCAGGGAAGAAGAUGACGGUACCUGACUAAGAAGCCCCGGCUAACUACGUGCCGGCAGCCGCGGUAAUACGUAGGGGGCAAGCGUUAUCCGGAUUUACUGGGUGUAAAGGGAGCGUAGACGGCGAUGCAAGCCAGAUGUGAAAGUCCGGGGCUCAACCCCGGGACUGCAUUUGGAACUGUGUGGCUGGAGUGUCGGAGAGGCAGGCGGAAUUCCUAGUGUAGCGGUGAAAUGCGUAGAUAUUAGGAGGAACACCAGUGGCGAAGGCGGCUUACUGGACUGUAACUGACGUUGAGGCUCGAAAGCGUGGGGAGCAAACAGGAUUAGAUACCCUUGUA